GGACAGGCGAUGGAGACGGGGAUCAGAUGGGAGGGUGACCUGGUGAGAGAUUUUCCAGCUGGCAGAAAUGUCCUCUACCUUGAGGGAGGCGUGUGACAUGGGAGUUCUGUUUAAAGAGGAGAAUGGAUGGUUACACAUCCUGCUUGGGAUCCAAUCACUGAACCAGAGGGGAACACCGUGCAUGAUGGGCUGCCCUACCCACUUUACGGAUGAGGAAAUGGAGGCUCGGGAGAUGAAGCUGGCAGACUUCCUCUGGACAUCUGGAGGGACGUCCUGUCAGCAGAGCAGGCUGGACUGCUUCACAAAGAGGAUGCAGCCCCACCUCCCAGCGGGAGUCAGUUCUGCUCUGAGACGUGAGGCUCAGAAUCAGAUGAAGACUCCUGCUGCUGCAUCUUGAAGAUAAUGAUGCUGUUGCUCCCGGCCGGAACCACAGCAGUAGCGAUGAGUGAACAGCCAGCGGGGUGGAGCG
rnacentral:lncRNA from 1 species